rnacentral:rRNA from 1 species
GCGGACGGGUGAGUAACACGUGGAUAACCUACCUAUAAGACUGGGAUAACUUCGGGAAACCGGAGCUAAUACCGGAUAAUAUUUUGAACCGCAUGGUUCAAAAGUGAAAGACGGUCUUGCUGUCACUUAUAGAUGGAUCCGCGCUGCAUUAGCUAGUUGGUAAGGUAACGGCUUACCAAGGCAACGAUGCAUAGCCGACCUGAGAGGGUGAUCGGCCACACUGGAACUGAGACACGGUCCAGACUCCUACGGGAGGCAGCAGUAGGGAAUCUUCCGCAAUGGGCGAAAGCCUGACGGAGCAACGCCGCGUGAGUGAUGAAGGUCUUCGGAUCGUAAAACUCUGUUAUUAGGGAAGAACAUAUGUGUAAGUAACUGUGCACAUCUUGACGGUACCUAAUCAGAAAGCCACGGCUAACUACGUGCCAGCAGCCGCGGUAAUACGUAGGUGGCAAGCGUUAUCCGGAAUUAUUGGGCGUAAAGCGCGCGUAGGCGGUUUUUUAAGUCUGAUGUGAAAGCCCACGGCUCAACCGUGGAGGGUCAUUGGAAACUGGAAAACUUGAGUGCAGAAGAGGAAAGUGGAAUUCCAUGUGUAGCGGUGAAAUGCGCAGAGAUAUGGAGGAACACCAGUGGCGAAGGCGACUUUCUGGUCUGUAACUGACGCUGAUGUGCGAAAGCGUGGGGAUCAAACAGGAUUAGAUACCCUGGUAGUCCACGCCGUAAACGA